UGGGAUUACAGGCAUGUGCCACCAUGCCUGGCUUUGUAUUGUUUUUUAUUUCUGAAAAUGAGCCAGGAUCUGAUCACAAAAGUCUAAUGAUGUACUCCAGUGAAGGCUCCAUUCAUGAUGGCUGCAGCAGAGCCCACAGCUGUCAGGUGAAAGCCAAAUGCCCCCAAGUCCCUGCAUUCACUUGGAAAUAACUCAUCUGUUAGACCACUACACUCUGCUCUCUCAAAGGUAAUCUUUUAGCCACAAUGAAUAUUGAAGAGAAGAGAAGGCAAGGGACAGAAGGAGAGAGUAUACCAAGAAUUAGAAGGGCCUGGUACAUGCUAGGAAAGCACUAUACCAUAGAGCUGUGCCCCCAGCCCUCAUGCUUUAAUACAAUCACCUGUGCCAUUGUCUCGAGAGGUGCCUGGAGGAGGUGAGAGAUUUGUUAGAAAGACUGUGUUGAUAGAUGAUGGUGGAUUUAAGCAGGCUGGAGCAAUGGAAGAGGAGUUAACAAUAUAACCACAAGCCUGGAUGUCACUUCAAGGAGUCCUAGUCCACCUUCCCACCCAGCCUUCCACCAACUCUGAGCAACCGGAAAAGGAAGUGUUAUUGCUCAGGUCUUCAGGCAUUUCUGCCUGCCUCAGCCUCACAGUCCAAACGAGGAUUCCAGAAGGAAAUCAUUCUUGUAUCCAGGGUGCUCCAAGUUCUUCAGUCUUCUGUUAUUUCCUCGCUCGGCAGUAUCCCAGCUGCCAUGGUGGUCUUCAGCUUUUCCUGUAGAUCUGAGCAACGGGGCAAGCUUCACAGACAUGCAACACAUGAAGGCAGACCGGGCCUUGUGCUAGGUAGGGUUUUGCUUUGCUUUAUUGCUCUGCUGUUACUUUUUGGAAAUUCUCAAAAAUUUUGAGCAAAGAACCUACAUUUUCAUUUUGCGCUGACCCUGCUGAGUAAGAAGUCGCCAUAGCCUUGCAGCAUGCCCCUGGUGGCCAAAUGGUGGAC
rnacentral:lncRNA from 1 species